GACCCACCCAACAGAAGGAGGGAGUGGGAGUUUAUGGGUGAAGAACCAUGAAAUACAGUCACUUCUUCCAGUCUGGGAUUGGUUUGUUUUCGUCAAGUGGUCUAUGCUCCGGCUUUCUUCCUGGACCUAUGUGGCAGCCUUGCUGGGUCCCAUGAAGACAGGAUCUUUGUCUUUUUGAGUCAGCCUCUACACCUUCAUCUGUUGGGUGAAUGAAGAGACAAACACAUACCUGUUCAAUGACACUGGUCUCCGUGAAAUGUGAGGCUCACCAAAGUAUCCCUGAAGGGGUAAAAUGGCCGUUGCCUGAGAGCUUCACCUGAGUCAUGGGAAGAAACCUACAGAGCCUAUCUGGGUUUGAUGAAGAUGUUGAACUCUGAGCUUCUCCUGCACCAUUCCUGCCUGGAUGCUGCCAUAUUCCCGCCUUGAUGAUAAUGGACUGAACUUCUGAACCUGUAAGCCAGCCCCAACUAAAUGUGGUCCUUAUAAGAGUUGCCUUGGUCAUGGUAUCUGUUCACAGGGGUAAAAAGCUGACUAAAACAUGCAUGUUGCAAUAGUGAUGAGGGUGGACACUCUAAAUGAGGCUAUUUGAUCAACCUAGUGCUCUCUUCCUUUUUGAUGCUCUGAAAUGAAACCAGCUGGACAGGACGGUGGUUCUCAUUCUCUUGUGAUGACGAGCACUGUCCAAAUGAGAGCCUAGCAACCCAACUUGGAUUUCUGUAACAGAGAACCAGAAAGAUACUUGUUCCUUAGUCAGACAGCUCUUGAAAUGCAUGAAUGUGUGCAUGUGUGCAUGCAUAUGCACUAAUUAAUGCACACAUGAAUGUGUGCCACAUAACUGAACACAUUUUCAGGGAGAAGAAAACCCCUUUAUUUCUAAAAUACCUUUAGAUACAACCUCUGCUAAGACUGGAGAAUGGUACUGGGGCAGUUAUAUGCUAGACAGAAGUCCAUACUCACCACUGGAGACACAAUAUAUAGGAACACACGAUGGACAUUCUUCCAUUAAUAAUAGUCCUUAGCAACUGGGGGCAAUCUAUGUGUCCUUCAAUAGAGAUUCCUGACUGAUACUUGGACUGGCCAGUCUAGUGCUCUUCAGGAACAUAGAUCAGCUGGUCUUGCUUUUAGGGCCACAGGACGGGGACUGAAGUGAUGCACCCCACCCAUCUUGCGUUGCUCAGUGCAUAUCCAUGUCAGUGUGCUUUGCAUGGAAUCUUGAGCUCCCUAGACAGUGCUUUAUCUAGGACUGUGUCCUGCCUCUCAGGACAUGUCCCUGCUGCACGAUUUUAUUGACUUGGGUCGGAAUGUAAAGAGUCUUUAUUGAGCAUGUCUGAAGACUUUUGGAAGACCAACUGUGUGGGAAGUAAUAUGCUCAGAGCCACUGAGAGUGAUAUGCAGCACCAUGCAGGAUUCAUGGACCCAGGACACAGAGCGGCAAUCCCACAGACUGUGGCUGUGGACUGAGCUCCAACAAGCUGCAAAGCUGCAGUGGUGUGGGGUGAGGGAGAGGAUAUAUUCACAGAACCCUUCCCAAUCCUUAUAUCCUCAGCCCUGGAGUGGGGAGAUCAUGGCAAGCCUGGGGACCCAAGACUCUGCCAUGCAACCCAGGUUGGAGUGUGCUAGACCUUCAGAGAAAGAGGUCUGUCAGUUCACACAGACAAGUGCCGAUAUGGAAGCAGUUUCAAAGGACCCUGCCCAUUUCUGUUCCUUGUUGGAGCUACCCGCCUAUACCCCCUCCUGCCUUUGAUCUUCAUCCCACUUGGCUUGGUCCAGAUUGGAGGUCUCCUGCUGCGUUGCCCCAGGAUGGGUCCCCAGCUCACAAGGUUUCACUCCCUCACUCACUCUGCUUGCUCUAUCACAGCUCAGAUCUGACCUCCUGCCUGCUUCACUAUGGCAGCAGGAGCCCUCUGAGUUCCCCAGGAGGGAACAAAGGAGAAAGGUAACUGUGGGCUGAACUGAGGAGAGUUUUGUACAAUAGGAAAUCUAGGUAGAUGUAUUCUGAUGGUCAGCGAAACCUCCUCCUUGGCCUUCUGAGUCGCACAAUAAUGGGGGUGACUGCGGGCAGUGGUCAGAAAGUCAGGAUUGAGUUGGGAGUCUGCUCACUUUCCGCUGACGCUGUUUCCUGCCAAAGAGGGCACAGUUAAAAUCGUUAACCUCUUGGUGCCUCGGUUUGCCCAUCUUUAAGAUGGCAGCAGCAAGAACAGCUUUGUCGUUGGUUGUUAGAGGGCCCAUGACAUCACAUGUGUAAGAGCUCCGGGUUCUGUGAGUUUGCCCUGAGUUAGGGCUGUGCCGUAGCUUUGGAGGAUAGCCAGCAUCUCUCUGGAUGCGCAGCCGCAGUGGGUCUGGGAAGCUCUUUCCUGCCUUCUGCCCCACAGGUCUCUACCUCCCUUUUAUAUAUUCAUCUUUUCUCCCUCCCCUGGCCCCCAGCCCAGUUUGGCUCUGAUGAUCUCCGAGGAACUACCGCUUACCCCAGCUUUCUGUCCAUGCCAUUCCCAGUCCGCAGCCUUUCUGCCCUGGCUUCCCCUGUUCCGUUCCCUCAAUUUUAAGACUCUCUGUAAUCUGACCUCCGUCUGAAGUCUUAGCGUCUUAGCUUCCAGAGAACUCGAGAAUUCUGAGCCCAAGUUCAAAGGUGCAUCUCAGCUGUGGCAUUCUAAAAUUUUCUAUUUAUAAAACAAACAAAAAACAAACAACAACAAGACCAGACCACACCUGCCUUACCUGACAGGAAUGCUCGAGGGCCAGAUGAGCAGGUGAGCUGUAGAUGGUUGGACGCUGUACAGCCACUUGUUAUUUUUGGACCACACACCGUGGCUUCCUUUCUUCGGCGUUUGGUUCAUAUCUUUCAUUCUCCUGGAGGGCCUUGUCACCCUGAGUCACCAUUGUCUUAAUCAGUAUUCCAUUCAGAGCUUGGCACAUACUGUGUGUGUGUGGAGAAGCUUCCCUGUUGACUCUUCUGGAAGAGUCAUUUUCCUCUUAUAUUUACUGUGUCGUGAUGUAUGAUGUAUCCCAUCUCUCAGAUGCCCCUUCCGGGGUCUGCCCUCAAACUCCUCUCUCACUGGAGCUGUUCAGUAUUCCGUGGAUCAUAAACCCAGCCAACAGGUGCUGAGGAGACCCUUAGCCAAAGGACAGAAGGAGUAGAUGAAUGAAUGGCCUGAGGCAGUAUAGGUGUAAAGGGACAGGCAGAGGCCUCUGAGAUCUCUUUAAAGAUCUGAGUUGGUAAAUAGCUGAUUUUCUCUCUCUCUCUCUCUCUUUCUCUCUCUCCCUCCACCAUCCCUCCUUCCUCCACAAUUUCUUUCCUCCUUUUCUUUUUGUCAAUUGCUUAUUCUCUUGGGUUUUCUGUUUGUUUGUUUGUUUGUUUGUUUGUUUGUUGUGACAGGACCUUAUGUAGCCCAAGCUAGCCUAAAACAUAUAAUUUCUAUACAACCAAGCAUGACCCUGAACUCAUGAUCCUCUUGUAACUACCUCCUGAGUUCUGGGAUUAUAGGCAUAUGCCACCACAGCAGGUCUAUGUGAGUGCCUCGUGCUGAGGAGUGAACCCAGGGUUUGGUGCAGGCUAAGCACUCUACCAACUGAGCUAAAUCCCCAGUCCCGGGCAGCCAUUUUCAACAUGCGGCCAAUAUUACAGAGUAGACGUAGAGCACCUAGAGAAGAGGAGUUUGGCUGCAAAAAUGGAGAAGGCAGCUAGGGAGGGGCCUAGGGAUGUUCAUGUAGCACGGCACUCCUCCUGGGGAGUCUCAGAAAGUACCUUCCCAGAGUGGAGUAUGGCAGUUGGGAUCCCAUGGGAGCAGGGUUGUAGGAGGAGUGUCUCUGACACGGAUCAGGUUCCACACAGGUAUACAUGAUGGGGUGCUGGGAACUGAAGCACAAGACAGGAACGAAAGUCACUGGGACAUUUAUGACCUAUUCGAUCCCUCCCUGGACACAGUAAGGCCUAUUUCUCCAGCAGUUCUAAGGGUAUCUGUGUAUCCUGACAUAAGUUCCUCUUCACUGUCCCCAACUCCUAUUCCCAGACCACACGUUCCUCCAGUUGUGCUGAAUUUGAAGUAUUUUAAUGCCGGAUGUCUAUCUGGGUACGAGUUUGUAAAGCCAUUGUUUUCCUUUGAUUCCUUCCUUCUCUUUCUUCCUUCCUUCCUUUCUUUCUUUCUUUCUUUCUUCCUUUCUCUCUUUCUUUCUUUCUUCCUUUUUUACCUUUUCUCUUUCUUUUGUAUCUCCUUGAAACAGAUGUCAGCCAAAGCUCCCAGCCCAGAUCAAGGGCAGGUUCAAGGCUUUGAGAUGGGUUUGAAUGUUCCUUUAACAUUGCCCCAUCUAAUACCCAAAUAUACCUCAAGUCAUUACCCUGUUUUUAUAAGACAUUCUGAGCCGUAUGCACAGGAACUAAUUAGGCAUACAAUUCAAGCCCUCGGAUCAGGUGGCACUCUGUUGAAAUAUCUUAACCUUUCAUGAUUAUCUUAAUUUAGAGAAAAUUCAAAACACAUUCAGAAGCCUUAGAAAAUGAAGUAAGUAGGAAUUUACUGGCUGGCUGCUCUUCUUGAUGUCAAGAUCCUUCUUUAUAAGCCCAGCCUAAGUCUCCUGGGACGUCCUCGGGAGUCUCUCGAAGCUUGCAGGGAUGUGAUCAGGGACCAGGCCUGACUUCCCCUCCCUUCCUCAGCGGUUUCCCUCAGUGUGUGCCAAGCCAUGCAUAACUCCCAACUUCGCCAUCAUGGCAUCCAUGGGCCGGGAGGAAGGUUUAGGGAGUUUAACCUCCUUUUCUGACAAGGCAUAAAAUAAGUAGGUGGUAUAUAACCCUGCAGUUUGUGUUAUUUAGAAAGAUUCACAGCCCGGGCUCACAGACCUGGCUUCCCAUUGGCCACAGAGGAUGCUAGAUAAACCUGGAUUCUGAAUAGAUAAACCUGGUUUAUUCUGGAGCAAUCUGACUAGGUUGAGGUUCUUUGGUUAUUUGCCUCUGUGUGGUGUGUCUACAGAGCAGACCAAAUGGGAUUGCCGCAAGCUCUUUAGCUGCUUUCCGGCUCCGUCUUGCCAGAGCCUCUACUCAAAGUCAGGUCUGUUCUACAAAUGGAGUCUGUGCUUUAAAGUGUUCCUGACACAGGGGCCUGGCUCAUGGCUGGCCUGGGCCAGCUCUCAAAAGCCACUCCAGAUAGAUGUUCUUUUGAUAAUUAAACUUUUAGAAAAAAGGUCUCCAGACAAAGCACCCAGUCAAGUUUAAAUUUUUGAUAGGUGUGCGUACAUAUUUUUACGACUCCAAGUAUAUUCUAAGCAAUAUACCAAAUAGGAACGGAUUACACUAAUUGCUGGCUACAAUCCAAAAUUUAAGGUUAACUGGGAAUCUUGUAUUUUAUCUAUUAGAACUUGCAGACAAACUUCAAGUACAACUUAGUGGAGACAGUAAUUUUGGAGGUUGCAAUCAGGGAGCAAAAUUGGCUCAGACCCUUCGCUGGUGAUACCCUUCUUGGCCCUCAGCACAAUUGCACAAACUAGGGCCAGGGAGUGACCUGAAGCUCAGAGAUGUCAAGUGACUCCCCUAAGGUUGCCUCGCUGAACUCCACUGCCAGCCCAGCUUUGUUGGACUUCAAAGCCUGGACCCCUUCGAUGCUACCCCAGUGCCAAGCUGAUGGUUAUCUUUCCUGAGUUCUCAUUUUCCUAGCUUGCUUUGGCUCCUCUCAACUUCUUCCCCAUUUUUUUUCCACAAAUGUUCAAGGAGAGAUUCACUCCCGUCAGAUCAAUGUCACUGCCAUAAUGAAAACCACCACCCAAACCCACGAAGGACGAGGUCUGUGGGACCCUAAUGAGAAUGGUUCCGAUUAUUUAGAAAGCAACCUCGUGGUUAUUCUAACGUUACAAGUAAAUAUAAAACAUUUAGAAAUACUUGGCCUGGCUUUUUUUUUUCAAGUACAGAUGUCUGACUCUCUGCCAGUUUGUUAUUAAAAACGCUAUGGUGGUUGGGUACAAAGAUUACUGUAGAAAUAAAAGCUGAUGCUCUCUGAACACUUGUUUUGACUUUGCAGAGAAGCUGGUGCUGAUGAGGUCAGAGCAGAUGGUGGCUGAGAGUGGCUCUCACUGGGAACCCCAAUAUUCAUAACUCACAGUGGCUCUCCAUUGUCCCCAAAGCCCCACAUUGUGUUGGGCCUCCUCCAGUCUCAACUGCUGCUAUUCUUCCUUUUGAUCUUCAGGGUGUCUUCUGAAUCAUCCUGUGUUUGAACUUGCCAGACCCUUGCCUAGGGGGCCUGUCCCCUGUUACAGGUCUGCCUGGUACCCCCUCCUCCUCAGCCUUCGGGGGUACACACUUCCUCCUCCUGCAAUGCACUGCUUGAUUCUUUUAUUUCCUGUAACUCUGACAGCUUCUUCUUCACUUCAUGCCUUUCCCCCCAGAAGGUGAACUCUACAAAGGUGGAGUCCCCCAACAUUGUAUCCUUCUGCCUGUCCUCCAACAUUGUAUGCUUCUGCCUGCCCCCAACAUUGUAUCCUUCUGUCUGCUCCCCCAACAUUGUGUCUGUCUGCCUCCUGCAGAAGGUGAACUCUAGGAAGGUAGAGCCCCUAACAUUGUAUCCGUCUGCUUGGUCUCCUAACCAAUGUCAAGUAGAUACAAGUUGCUCAAUAAAUAUUUGUUUAACAAAUAAGCCAUCAGAGCACCUGAUGUCCUGCAUUCCUCAUCUCUUCUGAGGCCAGAAGGAAAAGUUAAAACCUCCGCAAAUUGUGCAACUCACUGAGAAGCCCUUUAACAGGAGACUUCUUAUGCCCGAUGAAAUUUCUGGGACAGCACUCUGAACCACAGCAGAGGAUACAUAUUGCAAACGCACUAGGAUAUUGCAAAUGUCAAAGGAUAAAUGUAAAACUGAAGAUUCAGGGUUAUAAGCACCAACAUGGCCCUGACAGGCUUUCCACUACAGGUAGGUAUGUUGAAAAGACAUGGAAGGAGACACUGCUGGCCAGCUUUGCACCUUAGAUCAUCUGGGGCUCUCGCUGGCUUUGUUCUUCUGAUUCUCACUCGUGCCUCUUUGUGUGGCUGCCUACCAUUUGUCCUCAGGAUUUUGAUACUUUUUAAAAGCAGGCACUAGUCUCAUUUCUGUGUCCCUAACAUGCAGUCCUUUUUGUUGACUGGGACACACAAACUCAGAACCUCAAGUCUUUAAAUGGUUACUUUAGAUGGUGAGUGUGUGUGUGUGUGUGUGUGUGUGUGUGUGUGUGUGUGUGAGAGAGAGAGAGAGAGAGAGAGAGAGAGAGAGAAACAAGUGCCACUCUACAUGUGUGAAAGACUGCUUGCAUGAUAGGGUUUUCCUAUCAUGUGGGUUCUGAGGAUGAAUUUAGAUCACAAUGCUUGGUAGCAAGCACUCUUACCCAUUGAGCCAUUUCUAUGGCCUCACCUUGUAUUUUGAGGUACGGUGUCGCUUUGGACUUUGAGACAUAGGCUAGGCUGGCUAGUUAGCAGGACCCAGGUUGUCCCUGUCUUUCGGCUCCAGAACUUUGGCUCUACAUGGAAUGAGCCCAGGUCUUCAAACUUACAAGACAAGCACUUUACCAGUGGAACAUUCUCCUAGGGUACAGGGUAGGCAUCUAAGCUGGUGUCUUCAGGAGUACACAAUUCUACACACUCAAAAGACAGCUCUUGCCCUGCUUCAUUCAGAUAUUUCCCUGUUAAGUGGCCAAGAGCCCAAGGGGAUGGAAUUCCUAGACUUUCUAUGUACACAUCUUUCCUUCCCAACUUGUCUGAGUGUUUUAUUCCAAAACUUAGUCCAAAGAAAAUUCCUCUAAAAAUCCAAUUGCUAACACUGAACACAUGAGUUGGAGAACCAGAGAUCUGAGUGGAAGGAAAGAUCUGUUUUUGCCAGGUAAACGUUGUCACAUAUGUGAACUGGAAUUAACAUUUAUCACAGCUGGGUCAUAAUCAGAGCUUGCCUCUCAAACCGGGUCCAAAGCCACUUGGAAAAAAUGGCAACAAGUUCUAGAGCAUUGCACACACUCAAAGCCAAGGGUCUUCUAUUUCUGCACAGUCUAGGAGACUUGGACAUGUAUGUUCUGUGGGCAGCAUAGCUUGAACAGGAAGCCAGGGAAAUGCAGCAUCACUGAAGGCACAGGCUAAAUGUAAACACUCCUCUGUGUACAGAACCUCGACCCAUUACUUGGAGAGACACAUGCGUCUUUUGAGUUUCUACAUCGAUGACAUACAAAGUGGUAAGAUAGAACCGCUGGCUAUUUUUCUCAGGCUACCAUCUCAAAUGUGGCCUUGGAUUAGCCUGAGGACCAUUGUCAUAUUUUCAACAACUGAUGGCUGUCAGGGAUAGAGCUCAUAAAAAAAAAAACCCAAAACAAAACAAAACAAAACAAAAAACCAUCUCCCCAAACUCCUCAUGGAGGACAGCAGCAGGAGGAAACACUCCAUCACUGGCAAGUGACACUAAUGUAUUCUAUUAGAUUUGCUUAUCAUGUUAAAGAGCAUAUUAAAAGGAAAUGUUUGGAAACGGGAUGCCAUGCUGUGGGAUGAUGGAUGGAGAAUUCCUAAUUUGGAAAAAAUGUGCUAAGACAAUAUGAUUGAUGUGAGUGACCUACUUACUUUAUUUCAAGAAAGUAUGAGUUGCCUCGGGCCCACUGGUACACAUAUUUGGAAAAAGUUGUUUUUUUUCCACAUUAAGUUUUUAUUAACAUUUUCAAAAGAGCAAAAACACCAUAGAAGGAUGUAAGUCUCAACUUGUCAAUGCAGAUGUGUUUGUAGUCGCUCGCUCGCUGGGAGCGUUUCUCAGUCAGUGAGGUGUGUUUCUUGCCAAGAGAACACCUGACCAGAGAAGUAUGACACCCCUUUCCCUGAUGAAACAGACAAGGGAGGGGCAUUAUUUAUUUAUUUAUUUAUUUGUUUGUUUGUUUGUUUGUUUGUUUGUUUAUUUUUACUUAAAGCUCAGACAGAUCAUCUAGUACACAAACACACACACACACACACACACACACACACACACACACACACACACACACCCUGGGGCUCGGACACCUGCUGUUGCAAGCAAAGAUUGAGGCUAGGGGUUGGGGAUUUAGCUCAGUGGUAGAGCGCUUGCCUAGGAAGUGCAAGGCCCUGGGUUCGGUCCCCAGCUCCGGAAAAAAAAGAACAAAAAAAAAAAAAAAAGAUUGAGGCUAAGUUAACCAUUUUAGUUCAACCUUAGAUGUCAGAGCCCAGAGCUGAGGAUCCAUCCCUUCAUGAAACCGACCUGAGGCUGAGAAGCUAGGGCUCUAGAAUUUAUUUCAGGCUGUGGAUGGCCAGAACAUAGCUGGUGGCAGAUGGAAACACUGCCCCUGGAAGAACUCAGAGUCUAAAGGGGAAAAAAAUCCGUAUUAAGAAGUGGAGGUGGAAGAGCGAAUGCUCGCAGGCUUCCUCAAGGGCAAUUUGUCAAUUUGUCACAAACGCCCAACAUUGCCGGAUGCUUUAAGUUCCAGAAAUUCCACUUCUAGAACUUCUUGCAAAGCCAUCAUUUAUGAAGGGAGACGAAUGUUCACUCUGUAAUUAUUGACAAUGUUGAAAGAUGGACCAAUCUAAAUGUCGGACAUCAGGGAACUGCCUAAAUAAAUAUAGAUGCUUAAUACAGAGUGUGUGAAAAAAUAGUUAAGAAUAAAGCAGAGGAAGAUUUACAAUAUGCAAAGUGGGGGAUGUGGGCAAUAAGAUAUUAUGUGUAUCUGUUGCUCUUUGAAAACUAUGUAUGGUGUGUGUGUGUGUGUGUGUGUGUGUGUGUGUGUGUGUGUAUAGUAUGUAUUAAAAUUCUCUUUGUCUCUUGGUUUUUCCAGACAGGGAUUCUCUGUGUAGCCAUGGAUGUCCUGUAACUCACUCUGUAGACCAGGCUAGCCUUCAACUCAGAGAUCUGCCUUGGACUCCUGAGUACUGGGAUAAAAGCCAUGUUCAGCCACUGCCUGGCUAAAAUUCUCUUUUUAACUGAAAUCAAAUAUAUAUUUGAAGGAGGCCAUCCAGAUCUUCAGGGGUUGUUUCUGAAGCACUGGGUUAAUUUCCUACACAAGACAUACUUUACUCUGGUAAUAAGUGAAGGCACUAUUAAGCAGAACAUGUAAGAGUUAGGGCUGACUAAUUCAUAGCAGCACUAGGAGAACUAGGGCCAAAAGGGUCCCUGGACACAAGCUGGUUUCUUCAUCCAUUAGAAUGAACAACUUAGAAGAAUGGAAAACCAUUCCAUUCACUAGAACAAAACCAAAGCAUAAGCCACCCUCAGAACUGAAAAUGCAACAGCUCCUGAAUAAAUAUCAAGACCUAGUCAGAACCAAAGAAUGAAUAUAUCACAGUCUAAAUUCUGGAUGAGAUACUUGGCCAUGGUAAAGGCUACAACCCUUUCCCAAAUCAGUUUAUAUAGUUUACACAAUCCCAGUAUAGUUUACAACUAAAGUAGCUAGAGGAUUGAUUCUAAAAAGUAUCUCAGAGAAUAGAUAUGCAAGAACAGACAAUAUUUUCUAAAAGAGAUAAAUGAGAUGAAACUGUCCUAGCUGAUUUAAAAAAAUAUAUUACAAAGUGAAAGUGAUUAGUAAGUAACAUAAAAUGUAAUGUAGGAUAAAAUCCAGCAGGUCAAUACCACAAAGUAUGACAUCUAGAACGAAGUGGAGAUUGUUUCCUACAAUAGAAAAAGGUUAGAUGGUACCAGCAUGGUGUUGGAAUAACUGUUUACUUGUUUGAAGAAAAAAGGUGUUUUGUUUUUUGCUUCAUGACACCUUCACAGAGAAAAAGCCAAGUGCAUUAAAGGUGAACACAUUGCUUAAGGAUAUAAAAUGUUCAGGAGAGGGCUAAAGGAUAAAAUAUAUCCAGAAUCUGAGAAUGAAGGUUGAAGAAAGACAGACCUCAGACUCCACAGCCACAAACACCUCUGAUUGUGAGAUACUCUGGGAAAAUGCAGCCUUUGUGACAAUGUUGGUGGAAGAGCCUCCCAAUAUAAAAUGAUUUCUGUUUUACUUUUGAAAUAGAAUCUCACCAUGUAGCUCUGGCAGAUCUGGAGCUUACUGUGUAUAUACCAAGUUGGUCUUGAACUCACAAAGAUCCACCUGCCUCUUAGCAUUAUUUUAUUCCUGGUCAUAUAAAAUAUUUCUUGUUUUAAGAGGGUUACUAUGUUUCUUUGCCUCCCCCGAUCCCCUCCCCAACCCCCCCUCUCUCUGUCUCUGUCUCUCUGUAUGUGUGUAUGGUCUGUCCUUCUAACAUAUACAUAGUUGUCGACAGUAGCAAGAUGGGAGAGUUACCUUCAGUCUGACUUCUGGUUCUUCUGCCAUAUUUUUUAUUUUUUUCUGAAUCAUAUAAUGUUUUGAUGUUGUUGUUGAGUCUGGGUCUCACGUAGCCCAGGCUGGUUUCAACCUCACCAUGAAGCCAAGGAUGACCUUGAAUUACAGAUCUUCUUGUGUCUACCUAGUAAACGCUGCCUUACAGGUAUUGACUACUACAACCAGCUUAUAUGAUGCUAAGAAUCUAAACCAGGGAUUCAUGAAUGCUAGACUAGAACUCUACCAACCAUGCUGCAUCUCCAGCCCCUCAUAUAUUGAUUUUUUUUGCUUGUUUUUCUUUUCUUUUUUUAAUUUUUUCUCCAUCUUUAUUAACUUGGGUAUUUCUUAUUUACAUAUCAAUUGUUAUUCCCUUUCCCAGUUUCCAGGCCAACAUCCCCCUAACCCCUCCCUUUCCCCUUCUAUAUGGGUGUUCCCCCCAUCCUCCCCCCAUUACCGCCCUCCCCCCAACAAUCACAUUCACUGGGGGUUCAGUCUUGGCAGGACAAAGGGCUUCCCCUUCCACUGGUGUCCCUACUAGGCUAUUCAUUGCUACCUAUGCGGUUGGAGCCCAGGGUCAGUCCAUGUACAGUCUUGGGGUAGUGGCUUAGUCCCUGGAAACUCUGGUUGGUUGGCCUUGUUCUUCAUAUGGGGUCUCAAGCUCAUAUAUUGUUUUAUAAUAAAAACAUUACACACAUGAUAAAUUAGUCUCAAAAUGGAGAGUGAAUUCUCAGAAUAGAAGACCCAGAGCUGGGUCUCCAGAUGCUCAGGCUCCUGGGGUCCUCUUAGCCUCUAAUCUUCCUACUGAGAAGCUCCCUAGGUCACAGUAUAACCACUUUACUGAAGGAGGCCCCGAUGGCUGACAGCACUGUUCCUGGAACACCUCACAUAGCUGACUAUUGGUCCUCAGGUGGGAAUAGGAGGACAUGUCUCUCACAGAUAAAACAGCAUUCACUUAUGUUCCAACGUGCAUUAUACCCGACUUUUCUGCAAAUAGUUAUCUUCGAUAUUUCUCUCAAAUACUGUCACACUUGCAAUUGCUAUUACUCCCAUUUUGGAGAAAGAGAAACUGAGUCUCUGGAGAUUAAUCAUUUGCCUGAUCACAUGGCUUGAAGACAAAGACCAGUUGGGCUGGCCUCUACACCCUCCACAACUGCAUUUCCUCUUCUGGACAAGCACCCUUCAGCCCACAGAUAUAAAUUGCCUUUACUUGAGAUAGGGCUGGAGAGAUGGCUCAGGGGUUAAGAGCACUGACUGCUCUUCCAGAGGUCCUGAGUUCAAAUCCCAGCAAGCACAUGGUGGCUCACAACCAUCUGUAAUGGGAUCCAAUGCCACACUCUGCAGUGACUUGCAGCUCUGACUCCUCACUCAGUGCUAUUGUUGGGCUUCCUUGUGACCUGGAGAUAAGUCUGGCCAGACCAAUUCUCUGGUGGCCCACAAAGGGCACAGGUCUGAAGACUCCACCAGAAGGUACUGUCCUCCCAAGAUAUUUACCCUCUACAUGCUGGUCAGUAAGCUGGAGGUUUCUUUGGCUCCCACCUGUGUUCCCACAAUCUACUACUGGCUUUGCACACAGAAAGUGCUCACAUGACAGUUGGCUGGAUCACCGGACUGGCCAGAGAGACUUGAAGUCCUAUCUCUAGCCCUCUCAGAGCUGAUGCUGACUUGAGACCAUUUCUGUUCCCACAUGAGGCUCCCUUUUGGAAUAUACGUGUGGUGUAGUCUUUUAGGACACGAAGCUGUCUGGCAAUGGGAGGGGACACUGGGGGUCGGGGGCCAAAUUUGAUAGGUAACAUUAAGCUUCAACUUGAUGACAUGUAGAAUGGACUAGGAGGCAAACUUCUGGGAAUAUCUUCAACGGAGGGUGAGUGGCUAAAUUGCAUCAGGAAGACCUACCCCAACUAUGGGUUGCAUCCUUCUAUGGUACCCAGGACUGAAGCAAAGGCUGUAUUCAUCUCUGUCUGCUUCCCGAUUACCUCUGUGCCUUCCCUGUGAUAAUGGACUGUACCCAGGACUAUGGAUCAGAAUAGGUAUCUUCCUCUUUGAGGACCAUUUGCCAAAUAUUCUUUUCAUAGCCACGAGAAAGGAAACACAUGUGUGGGAAGGUCCAGAGCAGAUCGUAGGGGAGUGUGGUGGAGCGCACACACACUUCUGUACUAGGUCUAUCUUCCUGGUACCUUCAACAGCCCAUGGCAGAUGCCCAGGAAUGAAUGUAUGGGUGGUGUCAUUCUUCCAUCAUUUUCAUAGUCGAAAUCAGAUGUGCAGGGCUAGAGAUGGCUUUAUAGGUCCCGUUAUUCCAAUGCCCUCUCCCAGAAACUCAGAAACAGCAGCCGCUUGCCCAGGGUUGCAGAGACCAUGCAUUAACACAGGUUGUACGAGCUGGCUCGAAGACUUAGGCCGAAGCUAAGAAUAUCUGACUCAGUGUGGGUUAAGAACCAGGGGGAACCCUAGAGAGAACCAGCCCUCAUCCUAGAACCCUCACAUCGACUCUUCCGGCUCAGUCACCUCUGGGAGAGGCUUGAUGCUCUUAUAAUGAAGUCAUAUCUAUCACAAAGAACCUCGAGGCUACUUAGCUGAGAAAUAAUUACAUGUGUCUCAGAACUGGGAGAGCAAGUGUUCCCAUCCAGCAAUCCAUGAUGCUCUUAAAAAAAAAAAAAGGUUUCUCUAUAAAACUGCAGCUGGGGUGGAGAGAGGCAAGACUUUCAAGCUAGGAGGCCAUGUUCUGAUCCCUCCUCUUAUGUCUUGGCACCGUCUCAUCUAUAUGUCUAUAUCCCUGCGUAGACCUAUUAAAGCGACAUUAAAGGAGAUUAAAAGAGGAACGACAGCAUAAUCACAUUGCUGUAACUAAACUGCUCACAUGCCUGUGCCUCCUUGCUUAACUGCACGGGCAGGGCACGGAUGCGUUCUCGAUGUCAGCAAUUAAACAAUCAAGAAGUACAUGGCGUCACCAGGAAAAGCAUCCAGGUCACAGAGGGCUCUCCAGGUCCCCUUUCCCGUCCUUCAGUCACUCUGCUGCCAGCUUAGUGUAAAUCUCUCCAGUAAGUUUCUCCAAGUUUCCGUCUAGAUCUGUGUGUGCAAUCAGACAUGCAGACACACAGACAAGGGACGCCUGUUUCAACAGUGACAGAAUUGCAUUAUGUACUGUUCUACAAUACUGGUCCUCAACCUUCCUGAUCCUGCAGCCCUUUAAUACAGUUCCUCAUGUUGUGGUGAUGCUACCCCCACCACAGUUAUUUCCAUUGCUACUUCUAAUAUAAUUUUGCUCUGGUUAUGAGUUGUAAUGUAACUAACUAUCUGUGUUUUCCACUUGUCUUAGGUGAUCCCUGAGGAAGAGUUGGUCAACUCCAAAGGGGUCUCAACUCACAGGUUGAGAACUGUUGUUCUAGAACUUGCUUUUCUUCCCCUCUCUCUCCCUUGAUGAGUCAUGGCAUCUCUCCCACGAUACUGCAGAAAGCGACUUCUGCUUUCUGUAGUAAGGAAGCAUCGUUUUUGUUUUUCUCAAGGCAAACCUAUUAAUGGACAUAAAAGUUGUUUUUCCUUUUUCAAUAUUAGAAACAGUGACUACAUCACCUUGAGGUUUCUGCUUCUCUCAGAACAAGUCCUUUAUGAAGUCAGCUGGCUGGCCUACUGCAGAAUGUCAUGAAGAGAUUUCUCCUAUUACAUCCCCAGCGCCCAGAAUGGUGCCUCACGUGGCAUUUUUAUGCAAGAAGUGUUUGCUGAAUAAAUAAUUGGCCAUAGCAGAAAAAUGUGGUUGCAAAUUAUUUUUACAGUUAAUGCUUGUCAAAGGCCCACACUUUACAAAGGCAUUUUUUACUUCGGCCCUCAGAACUACCUUAUGAGGUCAGGACUUCCUGAUGAACUGUGACCAAAAGUCAGGGGCCGGGAGGCAAAGGUCAAGGUUCUAAUCCUUGUCCUUGUCCUAAGACUCUGUGAUGGUCUUUGAGGAAUCUAUUUCACCUUCACGGGCUUCAGUUAUUGUGUUUUUCCUUAAGUAUUUAUUACUAUAAUUUUGUGCAUGUGUACAGUGUGUGUGUGUGUGUGUGUGUGUGUGUGUGUGUGUAGAUCCUAGGACAAAUUUGGGUGUUGGUUUUUGCCUUGCUUGAAGCAGGAUUUCUUUACUUUGUUCCACAAUGCUGUAUAUUCCAGGCUAGCUGACCUGUGAGUUUCUGGUGUGUUCUCCUGUGUCUACAUCCCGUGUUGUGGUAGGAACGCUGGGAUUAGAGAAAGGCACCACUGCAUGCAGUCACUGGUUGUUCCAAAAAUUCAAACUCAGGCCAUCAGGUUUAUGUAGCAAGGGCUUUUGUAGGAUAAGCCAUCUUUCUGGUCCCAGCCCCAAUUUUUAAACAUGCACAAACAGGAAGAGUGAAAACACACACACACACACACACACACACACACACACACACACACACACACACACACACUUGAAGGAGCUCAUGAUAUCUAAAUGUGACAGUCUACGCCAACUACCUCAAUAAAUAAUUGAUCCUAUCUGUCUUUUGCCCCACAUGUCCUUUCCACCUGCCUAGGGUCAGACACCCACACACUUGCCAAGUUUUACAGUCCCUGAAACACCUCUCUGUUUUCCUUAAAGGAUCCUUAAAGAUGGUCUGGCCGCCCUUCACCUCCAGGAGUUUCUUCAAAAUGCCACAGGAAGCACGUGCUCGCUUUGUACCACUCAAACGUAAUAUCGGCAGCUUUCCUCUGUGCGUUUUCAUUUGGACACUGAUCCUAUUGUGUUACAGUUAGCUGUCUAGUUCCCUGGCUAGCUCUCGAGGGCCAGCACUAUGAUUGACUAAAUUUGUUAAUUGCAGGUCAGCUGCAAAUUUCCUUGUAAAUGGUACCUGCUCCGUUGGCGGAGUGCAAAUGACCUAAAACUUCUAUAAAUAUCAGAUUUUAAGUGACCCCAUGCUUCUGAGGGCCCAAGGCCUCCUAGUCUGCUCUGCGCUGUGACAAUGCCCCAGCCGCCCUGCUCUGAGAAAGACCCCCAGCCACACUGCCAGCUCCACCCUUUGUGACUCUUAGGAGGAACCGGCCUUUUCUUUCUUUUUUUCCUUCCUUCCUUUCUUUCUUUCUUUCUUUCUUUCUUUCUUUCUUUCUUUCUCUUUUUUUCUUCCUUCUCAAGAGCCAGGUUUAUGCUUUUGCCUUUGCCUCUUGUCAACUAGACUCCACUCAAGCAGCUCUUCAGGCAGACUUCCUGUGGCCUCUGUAUUUUUUUCCUUUUAUAUUCUCCCUUUUGCCCUUUGUAGUGCCAACUUCCCUCAUAUUAUCUUUCCAAACAGUGCAAAAAAAAAAAAACCAAAAAACAAA